GUCGGAAUAAGUCUACCAAACCCAAACAGAUGAAUGUACUUCAGUACUUGGAGAACAUUUUAUACUCAUUAUGAAUGCAAUGCAAUAUCAAAAUAUGUCCCCUAGGACCAAAAUAUAAGCUGCCCAUCUCACAAGAAAGUGACUGUCCAAGGAUCACAAGAGGAAGUGAAAGAGUUAAAAUGUUGGAUGGAAUUAAGGCUCAGCACAUGCCACCACCCCACUUAGUUUUACGAUCAUAGAAUUCGAAGCAAGGAAAGAGUGUGUUUCAAGUUCUCAAUGCUCUAUAUUUCAGACACCCAAGAUUUGCUCUAUCAGAAGAUACAUUUUGAGCUUUCUUCUGUUGGAACUGUACAACUGAAAUAUUCUUACAGAACAAUCUGGACUGGGCGGUUUUGUUCUGGGCUCAGAAUAAACUAAGCUUUUUGUUA